UACGAAGGGUGCAAACGUUGCUCGGAAUUAUUGGGCGUAAAGCGCACGUAGGCGGCUUUGCAAGUCGGGUGUGAAAUCCCUCGGCUUAACCAAGGAAGUGCAUCCGAAACUGCAGAGCUUGAGUACUUAAGAGGAUCGCGGAAUUCCCGGUGUAGAGGUGAAAUUCGUAGAUAUCGGGAGGAACACCAGUGGCGAAGGCGGCGAUCUGGGGAAGAUACUGACGCUGAGGUGCGAAAGCGUGGGGAGCAAACAGG
rnacentral:rRNA from 1 species